rnacentral:rRNA from 1 species
AGAGUUUGAUCCUGGCUCAGGAUGAACGCUAGCGGCAGGCCUAAUACAUGCAAGUCGAACGGUGUCUUCGGACAUAGUGGCGCACGGGUGCGUAACACGUAUGCAACCUACCUUACAUUGGGGGAUAGCCUUUCGAAAGGGAGAUUAAUACCGCAUAAGACAGUAGCUGGGCAUCCAGCAGCUGUUAAAGAUUUAUCGAUGUAAGAUGGGCAUGCGUCCAAUUAGUUAGUUGGCGAGGUAACGGCUCACCAAGACUUUGAUUGGUAGGGGAACUGAGAGGUCAAUCCCCCACACUGGCACUGAGAUACGGGCCAGACUCCUACGGGAGGCAGCAGUAGGGAAUAUUGGGCAAUGGACGCAAGUCUGACCCAGCCAUGCCGCGUGCAGGAUGAAGGCGUUAUGCGUUGUAAACUGCUUUUAUACAGGAAGAAACGACUCUUGCGAGAGGCAUUGACGGUACUGUAUGAAUAAGCACCGGCUAACUCCGUGCCAGCAGCCGCGGUAAUACGGAGGGUGCAAGCGUUGUCCGGAUUUAUUGGGUUUAAAGGGUGCGCAGGUGGUUUAUUAAGUCAGUGGUGAAAGACGGUCGCUCAACGAUUGCAGUGCCAUUGAAACUGGUAGACUUGAGUAAAGUAGAGGUGGGCGGAAUUGAUAGUGUAGCGGUGAAAUGCAUAGAUAUUAUCAAGAACUCCAAUUGCGUAGGCAGCUCACUUGGCUUUUACUGACACUCAUGCACGAAAGUGUGGGUAUCAAACAGGAUUAGAUACCCUGGUAGUCCACACUGUAAACGAUGAUAACUAGGUGUCGGCCGAAUCUGGUCGGUGCCACAGCGAAAGCGUUAAGUUAUCCACCUGGGGAGUACGCCGGCAACGGUGAAACUCAA